CGUGAGAUCUAUAAAAAAAUAACAUGAACCAUCAUAGUAUUUAUUUUGCUUUAUUCAAAAGCUUCAAUAAUUUCACAUUUUCACGUUAAAAAAAAAAAAAAGAGUUUAUUUUUAUCAUGUCUGAAAUUUACUUCUUGUUUUCCUUGGUGAAGCAAUGUAUGAACUUCUCCUUGGAAUGCUCAGGCGUCAGCGGACAAAACCAAUCUAAACUUUGUGGGAUCACCUGAGUCACUGACAAAAUAGCAAAGAGAUGUUAGAAUAUAUAGGUCACACAUAAUGAACAAUUUUGACAUGUACACUCCAUAAAUUGAAAUGCAGAUUCCAGGAUCUCUUUUUACUGUUGAUUGAGAUUGGUGUAGACAUGUGGCAGUAAACAUCCCUAGUUUCAUAAUAAAAUUAAAAGUAGACAUUAAAAAAAAAAAUCAGCAACUAUUUACCUUGUAAAGGACCACAAACUAUGCAGCAACACAUUACAGCAGGCAACAUACCACACAGGAUGUUUGUGGGUGUUCACCAUACCUGAGAAUAAGGCUAAACGACUUCCCGGAUAACAACACAAUUUCACCAUCACUGUUCCAUGACCUAAGCAUUUCCAUCAAAAUGCUUGUUCCUCCUAUGUACCAACAGAAUCAUAAAAUUCAACAAAAGUAAAAUUGAUUCUUUUCUCCAACAAUGCUCAAUGUGUAGUCCAUUCAUCAGCACUACUGGCUUAACUUUCAGGCAACAUGGGUUGAUGUCAUUCUCAAGACCAUGCACAGCUGCUCACUUACAUCUCCGGUGCAACUUUCCUACUUUGGCUCUCUUUUCACAACCUCCACCUGCCGAUUUUACCAUUAGUCCAACCCAGUAAUGUUUGCUGUAUGAUCCUAAAACAACUGAGUUUUUAUCGACAAACUUUAGCAGAUUUUAUACUGCCAAUGUAUUACCUGACCUCCAGUGAUGAAAAGUUGAGAAUUCCAGUUUAGAGCAUUCCUUCAGAGUCAUCAACAAACUUCUGUUUUCCCAAUAUUUUGAUAAAAGAAAAUCUCUUGUUACUCUAACUCUUUGCUGCAAAGUUAGUUUCAAAGGAAGUACAAACAAGAUGCUCAGUGAUGUCUGAAUAAAGGGCAUUUGCUACAAGUCCCAAAGGACAAAAUCCCCAUAUAUUACUAGUUUAACAUGCCCCAAGAUCUUCACUUAUCUUGACAUGCUGCCAUCUUCACCAGAAUUUUGUGAAAAUAGAUGCAACUGAACUACCUCACAUUAAGUUCUUAACCAAUGGAUAUAGAACAAAUAAGCAUAAGCAAAACAAGAACGCAUUUUGCAGACAGAAUAUACAAAGAAAAAGAAUCACAUCUCACCAACUGAUACAUGGCACUUGUACCAGAAAAGUGCAAUAUUUAUCACUAUAAUUAUUCAGGAAUCAGCAAUUUUUCUCUCGAACGGGUGACUGGUGAUCCUAGCUUGAUGUUCAUAAUGCUUGUCUCAACUACAUCCAUGAUAACAAAGAUGGGCAGCUACAAGUAUCAGUCUGUACAAAUAACAUUGCAGCUAAUUCAGAAUCCUCCAGAAUAAUAAAGUGGAAGUUGUUUUAUCUACUGGAUUAACCACCAAUAAUUAGUCAAAUUCGAUAUCAUGGGUCCACAGAAAAAUUGAGGAUCUUAAUGUCAUGAAAGGCAUAAAAAUUUAAUUCAAGAAUAAGGUUCAGAAGAUUGUUAAAAGAAAUAAUGAAAAAAAUACUUCAACAUUUGUUUAUCUCCUAGUUCAGAGUUUCAAAAAAAACAGAAUCAUAUACUAGAAUUAAUUUUAUCAGAACAAGACUGAUUUCUUCAUUUCCUGAGGUAGCGUCUGACAUCAUCUAAUACUACUAUGAACAGUUGAUAUUAGUGCACUGAAAGUUAUAUAUAUAUAUAUAUAUAUAUAUAUAUAUACACACAUAUAUAUACACAUAUGUGUAUAUAUGUGUAUAUACAUAUAUAUAUAUAAACACAUGUACAUAUAUGUGUAUACA
rnacentral:lncRNA from 1 species